rnacentral:rRNA from 1 species
AGAGUUUGAUCCUGGCUCAGGACGAACGCUGGCGGCGCGCCUAACACAUGCAAGUCGAACGGAGCUGAGAGGAGCUUGCUUUUCUCAGCUUAGUGGCGAACGGGUGAGUAACGCGUGAGUAACCUGCCCUGGAGUGGGGGACAACAGUUGGAAACGACUGCUAAUACCGCAUAAGCCCACGGCCCGGCAUCGGGCUGGGGGAAAAGGAUUUAUUCGCUUCAGGAUGGACUCGCGUCCAAUUAGCUAGUUGGUGAGGUAACGGCCCACCAAGGCGACGAUUGGUAGCCGGACUGAGAGGUUGAACGGCCACAUUGGGACUGAGACACGGCCCAGACUCCUACGGGAGGCAGCAGUGGGGGAUAUUGCACAAUGGGGGAAACCCUGAUGCAGCGACGCCGCGUGGAGGAAGAAGGUUUUCGGAUUGUAAACUCCUGUCGUUAGGGACGAUAAUGACGGUACCUAACAAGAAAGCACCGGCUAACUACGUGCCAGCAGCCGCGGUAAAACGUAGGGUGCAAGCGUUGUCCGGAAUUACUGGGUGUAAAGGGAGCGCAGGCGGACCGGCAAGUUGGAAGUGAAAACUAUGGGCUCAACCCAUAAAUUGCUUUCAAAACUGCUGGCCUUGAGUAGUGCAGAGGUAGGUGGAAUUCCCGGUGUAGCGGUGGAAUGCGUAGAUAUCGGGAGGAACACCAGUGGCGAAGGCGACCUACUGGGCACCAACUGACGCUGAGGCUCGAAAGCAUGGGUAGCAAACAGGAUUAGAUACCCUGGUAGUCCAUGCCGUAAACGAUGAUUACUAGGUGUUGGAGGAUUGACCCCUUCAGUGCCGCAGUUAACACAAUAAGUAAUCCACCUGGGGAGUACGACCGCAAGGUUGAAACUCAAAGGAAUUGACGGGGGCCCGCAC